GACGAACCGUGCGACCGUUGUUCGGAAUCACUGGGCUUAAAGGGCGCGUAGGCGGGCCCGCAAGUCAGGGGUGAAAUCCCACGGCUCAACCGUGGAAGUGCCUUUGAUACUGCGGGUCUGGAGGGAGGUAGGGGCGUGCGGAACUUCCGGUGGAGCGGUGAAAUGCGUAGAUAUCGGAAGGAACACCGGUGGCGAAAGCGGCGCGCUGGACAUCUACUGACGCUGAGGCGCGAAAGCCAGGGGAGCAAACGGG
rnacentral:rRNA from 1 species